CUCAAUCUCAAAAAUUGAGCCACAGUGGACAGACUGCAUCUCACAGAAGUUCAUUUAGCCUUUGAAAUGUGGAAAGACAGAAGAAAUCAGGAGAGGGAGUGGUGGAGAGGCCAUGGUACACCAAGUUCCACAAGAGCUGGGGUGAGACAAGCUGGCUGUGACUUCGUUCUACUUCUGUGAAAGUCUGACUUUAUUGGAAGGAAGGGUAAGUUUGGCAGAGGGCAUGAAGAGACCAUUAAC
rnacentral:lncRNA from 1 species